AUCAGUCAUCUACAAUAUACAUAUACUGUAUAUAUUAAAGACACGUCGUGGAUUCACAAAAGGACAUGAAGAGGAUGCCAACUGUGUCUUUUUCAGUGUCUUCUAUGUUUUUAGAUAUCUGCGUCUCAUGUCUGGUGUUCUGUCUUUUACUUUGCAUUUUGUCUUUUGUUGUGAAGCACUUUGUGACAUCUGCUCCUGAAAGGUGUUAUAUACAUAAACAUAUUAUUAUUAACAGAUGUUUUAAAAGCAUCAUCUUCCAGAUGUGAUGUGAUGUGAGUGAUAUUUGAGCCGUCGCCACGCAGCCCUUUGAAUAAAUGCUCCACCUGUGUUUGUCUAACUGGGUUGAUUUUCACACAGGACCAGCAGUCCACAAUCACCUAAUUGCAAUCAGUGUAAGCAGAACCUGAGAGGUUUCCUUCCAUGUCCUGUUUCCAUCAUUCCUCACCCUCAAACCUUCAGGAGAAAGACAGGAUGGAGCAUGACUGAUUGUUAUCCAGGCUGGUCAUUUAAAUCAACCGUCUGCUGCUGAACGUGGGCGUGCUGGUUGAACUCACUGCCAUGGCUCUUCUUCCAUUUGGAGUUUCUUGGCUUCUCACUCUGCUGUUAUGGACCUGUGUUUGUGUUCUUCCUCAAAGAGGUUAUGGCUACUCUCUCAAUGGGGAUGAAUUCAGCAGCCAUGCAGGCGUGUUUGGUCCACAAACAUCAGACCAGUUUCAUUCUGGAGCAGCUUUAAACACAAACCACGACUCUGUUAGUCCAAGAGAUGAGAUGAAACCCCGACGCUUUGUUUCCCUUCAGAGAGAACCAGUCUAUCAUGACAACAGUGAGGAUGCUAGCUCUGUUACUAGCCAUGAAGAGAUGGGACAAAGCAAACCAGACUUAGAACAUGAUGUCCCCCCCCGCUCCCUCUGUGCUGAAAUAUGAGCGUGAAGGAUCUGGUUCUCAACACCCCUUCGGCCUUUUAGUGAAGGAGCACAACAAAGAGCAAACUAUGGAGGGCACCAGUUUCCCAACAAUCAGAGAUGUCAAACGGUUUAUAGAAACAAUGAAGAGAUCCUUCUUAAUGCCAGGAAGUGACUUGAGUAGACAUUUUCAAACAGCACGGGAAUCUACGGAACAUGAGAUGGCUUCUAAUGCUCGAAAUGUGAAGGGGGAGCGUGACACGAGCUACAGGUCUAAUUCUGCAAAAGAAGGCUCUGCCCAUGAUGACGCCAGUGAAGCUGAAGUCUGGAGUGAAGCUAUGAAUGCAGCGUUUGAACAAAGUGAACAGGACGCCAACUACCAAAUGCCAAGUGAAAGCCUCUCUGUCCCCGAUGCUGUCGACUCCACUGCAGGUCUCCUCUCUACAAGAGCUAAUGACGGCCAAGACUCCGACUCAGGCCCAGGCUCCGCUCUCUACCCACGCCGUCAUUUAGCAGCCACAGAGCAGCUUUCAAGGAAUUAUGGAAGUUUUGACAGUGGUGGCCUUUCUGGGGAAAACACUGAUGUUUUCAUAAGUUCUCCUCACGUGCACACUGAACAUGUUCAGUCAACAGGCUUCACGGUCCCUGAACAAACUCCCUCUGGCUCAUUCUUUGGAGGGGAUUUGUCUUUCAGUGGCCACGUGACUGCAUCCCCCGUCAACCCUCCAAACAGCCCAUCUCAAGACUUCAGCUACUAUUCAAGUAAGACAUCCGAUAUAACCCGUCUGAACUCUGAGAACAUCCAACAACCAACAUAUACACCUCACAGGAAAGACUCUUUAACAGGGUAUGGACUAGAUAAUGAUUUUCAAAGUGAGGAGCUGAGCAGAGUGACUCCAGCCAAUGUCCCGUCAGCUCCGAUGCCCCCAUCUUUGAAUUCCUACGGCAAAAGUGUGUACGUCCGUGCACCAAGAGGUCAACACUACAUCCCAGAUUAUCCACCAACGCGUAGGGAAAGACCAGCCCAAUCAUUUCAGGCAUAUCAACCCACUGUUGGCGAGGAAUCAAAGGGUAUAAACUCCCCUCCCACCACCCACCUGCCUGUAUCUGCUGAUCCUCUGUCUUCCAGCUCUGAUGAUCCUUCACCACAGAGUCAUAGUGGUCAUGUGGGAGUUCAAACAAGCAGCCCACAUGAUGCUCACAAUCAAGUUUUCAACAGAAAGCAGCCGGUCAGAUUACACACAAUGUUUACUGUGAACCCUUCCAGCUCUCCUCCCGGCUCCAGCAGACAUGAUGGCUAUCUCCGAGACCAGAUGGACAGUAUUAGUCGUCCUUCUACCCCGAUGGCCCGGGACGAAGACGAGGAGAAAUCAGACCUCUCCGAGCAGAAUCUGAUCUCUGCCACUCGGGGAUCAAAACAGAUGGCCGACAAUACCAGUGCAGUGAAGGAGAAUCAAAACUUUUCAAGUGAGACAAAAAUGAUGGCCUGACAUUUCAGAAAGAACCAAAAAGUCAAUUACACUUGGAGGUAAAUAAGUCUGUUUAAAGAUGUAGGAUCGCAUUAGAGGCAAAUAUAUAAAUACCAAAAAUCUAGAAGACUAUUUACGUCACACUUGUUGUUUUCUUUGCCAUCUUAAAUGUAGGUGAAACCGCUGACAUCAAGUCCUCAGUAAAUAUGGGAUCUGUUGACAUCUUCAACCGGGAGGGAAAUCAAGUUUCUGUAGUUGUACACACGUCCGCUCUGCUCUGACUAGUGAAGGCAUGAAAUAUAGUAAAGCUUUUUACCUCCUUGUCUUGAUUGUCAUAUGCUCAUUAAAAAUGUUCCUUUCUUUAGUCAUA